CAGCACCUCAAGUGGUCAGGAUGAUUAUUGGGCCUAAAGCAUCCGUAGCCGGCUCUGUAAGUUUUCGGUUAAAUCUGUACGCUCAACGUAUGGGCUGCCGGGAAUACUGCAAAGCUAGGGAGUGGGAGAGGUAGACGGUACUCGGUAGGAAGGGGUAAAAUCCUUUGAUCUAUUGAUGACCACCUGUGGCGAAGGCGGUCUACCAGAACACGUCCGACGGUGAGGGAUGAAAGCUGGGGGAGCAAACCGGAUUAGAGACCCGAGUAGUCC
rnacentral:rRNA from 1 species